GAGCGUCGUUUGCGACGCCCAACACACAAAACAAGCGGUGAAUGCUUUGGGGUGGGGUGACUGCGUACCUUUUGUAUAAUGGGUCAGCGACUUAUAUUCUGUAGCAAGGUUAACCGAAUAGGGGAGCCGGAGGGAAACCGAGUCUUAAUUGGGCGUUAAGUUGCAGGGUAUAGACCCGAAACCCGGUGAUCUAGCCAUGGGCAGGUUGAAGGUUGGGUAACACUAACUGGAGGACCGAACCGACUAAUGUUGAAAAAUUAGCGGAUGACCUGUGGCUGGGGGUGAAAGGCCAAUCAAACCGGGAGAUAGCUGGUUCUCCCCGAAAGCUAUUUAGGUAGCGCCUCGUGAAUUCAUCUCCGGGGGUAGAGCACUGUUUCGGCUAGGGGGCCAUCCCGGCUUACCAACCCGAUGCAAACUGCGAAUACCGGAGAAUGUUAUCACGGGAGACACACGGCGGGUGCUAACGUCCGUCGUGAAGAGGGAAACAACCCAGACCGCCAGCUAAGGUCCCAAAGUCAUGGUUAAGUGGGAAACGAUGUGGGAAGGCCCAGACAGCCAGGAUGUUGGCUUAGAAGCAGCCAUCAUUUAAAGAAAGCGUAAUAGCUCACUGGUCGAGUCGGCCUGCGCGGAAGAUGUAACGGGGCUAAACCAUGCACCGAAGCUGCGGCAGCGAACGUAUCACCCAAGACAACUUUACGGAGUUGACGAUUGACGGAGCGAAGCGACGUCAAAGCGUUCAUUAAAGUCGAGUUGGCUUAGGGAUACGUUCGUUGGGUAGGGGAGCGUUCUGUAAGCCUGUGAAGGUGUGUCGUGAGGCAUGCUGGAGGUAUCAGAAGUGCGAAUGCUGACAUAAGUAACGAUAAAGCGGGUGAAAAGCCCGCUCGCCGGAAGACCAAGGGUUCCUGUCCAACGUUAAUCGGGGCAGGGUGAGUCGACCCCUAAGGCGAGGCCGAAAGGCGUAGUCGAUGGGAAACGGGUUAAUAUUCCCGUACUUGGUGUUACUGCGAAGGGGGGACGGAGAAGGCUAUGUUGGCCGGGCGACGGUUGUCCCGGUUUAAGCGUGUAGGUGUGUGUUCCAGGUAAAUCCGGUUCACUUUAACACUGAGGCGUGAUGACGAGGCACUACGGUGCUGAAGCAACAAAUGCCCUGCUUCCAGGAAAAGCCUCUAAGCAUCAGGUAACAU
rnacentral:rRNA from 1 species